GAGAGGAUAUCACAUCUCCACAAGUUUUCAACCAGCCGUUCAAUACUACUGCUGCUUAUGGAAUUGCAGUGUUGGAGAUUUAAACCAACCAAAGUCUCGCCCAAUUUUUUAAGAUGAGGCAAGCUCCUGUUUGAUACCAUGGAGCAACCGGAUAACGAGAGGACUUGCAGAUUUAGGUGCACUCCAUUGGACAGGGCAGCAACACCAGAAUCAGUGAUGGAACACUUUGAAACAUCAAGAUCAUUGAGAAAUAAACAACUGUCCGCUAUCGCUACCAAGCUUGC
rnacentral:lncRNA from 1 species